GUGCUGCAAAAACUGUCGUCAGCUCGGUCGUGAGAUGUCGGGAAAGUCCCGUAACGAGCGCAAACCUUGUCCUUAGUUACCAGCACGUAAUGGUGGGCACUCUAAGGAGACUGCCGGUGACAAACCGGAGGAAGGUGGGGAUGACGUCAAGUCAUCAUGGCCCUUACGGCCAGGGCUACACACGUGCUACAAUGGUCGGUACAAAGGGUUGCCAAGCCGCGAGGUGGAGCUAAUCCCAUAAAACCGAUCGUAGUCCGGAUCGCAGUCUGCAACUCGACUGCGUGAAGUCGGAAUCGCUAGUAAUCGUGAAUCAGAAUGUCACGGUGAAUACGUUCCCGGGCCUUGUACACACCGCCCUGUCACACCGAUGGGAGUGGGUUGCUCCAGAAGUAGCUAGUCUAACCUUCGGGGCGACGGCUACUACGGAGGGAUCAGAAGCG
rnacentral:rRNA from 1 species